rnacentral:ncRNA from 1 species
AGAGCGAUGAAACGGAGGUUGCCGUGCGUAUCACGGGUUUUCCGCGGAGCGAUGUCCAGUUCAUGAAACCGGGCGACAA